rnacentral:rRNA from 1 species
AUUGAACGCUGGCGGCAUGCCUUACACAUGCAAGUCGAACGGCAGCACGGGUGCUUGCACCUGGUGGCGAGUGGCGAACGGGUGAGUAAUACAUCGGAACAUGUCCUGUAGUGGGGGAUAGCCCGGCGAAAGCCGGAUUAAUACCGCAUACGAUCUACGGAUGAAAGCGGGGGACCUUCGGGCCUCGCGCUAUAGGGGUGGCCGAUGGCUGAUUAGCUAGUUGGUGGGGUAAAGGCCUACCAAGGCGACGAUCAGUAGCUGGUCUGAGAGGACGACCAGCCACACUGGGACUGAGACACGGCCCAGACUCCGACGGGAGGCAGCAGUGGGGAAUUUUGGACAAUGGGCGAAAGCCUGAUCCAGCAAUGCCGCGUGUGUGAAGAAGGCCUUCGGGUUGUAAAGCACUUUUGUCCGGAAAGAAAUCCUUGGCCCUAAUACGGUCGGGGGAUGACGGUACCGGAAGAAUAAGCACCGGCUAACUACGUG